CACCUCUCAGGGUUGUACCUGAAGAGUUUCCAGUGCUCUACCAGUCUCAACUAUGGGAGGGAGAGUCAAGCAGAGGCCUACUCAUUCCAUUCCUAGCUUGGCCAGUAGCUAGUGAGUGGAAGGCAAUCUGCUAUAAGU
rnacentral:snoRNA from 1 species